ACGGAAGGCAGCAGUGGGGAAUAUUGCACAAUGGGGGAAACCCUGAUGCAGCGACGCCGCGUGAAGGAAGAAGUAUCUCGGUAUGUAAACUUCUAUCAGCAGGGAAGAAAAUGACGGUACCUGACUAAGAAGCCCCGGCUAACUACGUGCUAGCAGCCGCGGUACUACGUAGGGGGCAAGCGUUAUCCGGAUUUACUGGGUGUAAAGGGAGCGUAGACGGAAUUGCAAGUCUGAUGUGAAAGGCAUGGGCUCAACCUGUGGACUGCAUUGGAAACUGUGAUGCUUGAGUGCCGGAGGGGUAAGCGGAAUUCCUGGUGUAGCGGUGAAAUGCGUAGAUAUCAGGAGGAACACCGGUGGCGAAGGCGGCUUACUGGACGGCAACUGACGUUGAGGCUCGAAGGCGUGGGGAGCAAACAGGAUUAGAUACCCUGGUA
rnacentral:rRNA from 1 species